AUAAUAUUCGUGAAUGACAACCUGGAUCACCCCUGAACAUAUGUACGAACUUUUUGGAUUUGACCCGUUCUGAGGAUGGAUAAAGAACUCACCCCCCAAAACUUAAAUAAUGGCAUACCCGGCAUCUUCGAAACUAAAUGGCGUAGAUCUGCAUAGCAAUAAUGAUAGCUCCUCAGUAUGUAUCAACUUGAUGUUUUUUUUUUUUUUUUUUUUUUUUGUUGCAGGAACACUGGAGAUCUCCAAAAGCAGCUCAAUGGCGGCUAAGGCGUGCAUGGAAGAAUGGCCGCGUAGCAAAACAGAGAUACAUGAGGUGAGCCACUAGACAUCUCAAAAACACCCCUGGUCUGAGGUAUAUCAAUUGCCCAUUGUUGAGAUUCUGUCGCCAUGUUCUCAAACAAUUGAUACGCUUGCAGUGCAUUUUUGUCUGAAUACGUUCCUCCACAAGAAGCAUUAACAAGAGUCUUAGUAGUCAAAUUCAGCCCUCUGUAAAAUAAAUUCAUUUGAGUGUCACCAUUAAUGCCUGAAUGUGGACAUUUCCUGAGUAGAUCCUUGUAACGUUCCCAUGCUUCAUGAAUUGCUUCAUUAGGUUUCUGAGCA